GUGUUUUCAGGAAAACAGCUUUAUUUGACUGAUGCGUUCGGUCAAAUAAAGCUGUUUUCCUGAAACUACAA